AUUGAACGCUGGCGGCAUGCUUUACACAUGCAAGUCGAACGGCAGCACGGGUGCUUGCACCUGGUGGCGAGUGGCGGACGGGUGAGUAAUACAUCGGAACGUAUCCUGAAGUGGGGGAUAACGCAUCGAAAGAUGUGCUAAUACCGCAUAUACUCUGAGGAGGAAAGUAGGGGAUCGAAAGACCUUAUGCUUUUGGAGCGGCCGAUGUCUGAUUAGCUAGUUGGUAAGGUAAUGGCUUACCAAGGCAACGAUCAGUAGUUGGUCUGAGAGGACGACCAGCCACACUGGGACUGAGACACGGCCCAGACUCCUACGGGAGGCAGCAGUGGGGAAUUUUGGACAAUGGGCGCAAGCCUGAUCCAGCAAUGCCGCGUGAGUGAAGAAGGCCUCGGUUGUAAGACUCUUUCGGCCGGGACCGAAAGUCGCACGGGUUAACGACCGCGUGUGGAGUGACGGUACCGGAAGUAAGAAGACACCGGC
rnacentral:rRNA from 1 species